rnacentral:misc_RNA from 1 species
UCCGUGUUAACCACGGCAGUCUCUUUAGAGUGCCCAACUGAAUGAUGGCAACUAAAGACAAGGGUUGCGCUCGUUGCGGGACUUAACCCAACAUGUCACCACACGAGCUGACGACAGCCAUGCAGCACCUGUCACUUGGUCGUAUUGCUACGAAAGCCCUAUCUCUAGGGUUGUCCAAGGAUGUCAAAUCCAGGUAAGGUUCUUCGCGUUGCUUCGAAUUAAACCACAUGAUCCACCGCUUGUGCGGGCCCCCGUCAAUUCCUUUGAGUUUUAGUCUUGCGACCGUACUUCCCAGGCGGGGUACUUAUUGCGUUAGCUCCGACUCAGCGGGGGUCAAGACCCACUAAAUCUAGUACCCAUCGUUUACAGCGUGGACUAC